AAUACUAGAAAAUAAAGACCAAGUGUAACCAAUGAGAUAACCUAUAGUGGACCCCACGCUAUUACUAAAGUACCAAACCCCUUAGUUCACUUUCAUUUUUCUUUUCCUGCAUAAUCAGAAUACUCCCUUCUCUCAUCUCAUCUCUCUCGUUUAACAAAACAACAACACCCAACCAUCUCAAUCUCUCUAAACUUCCUCAUAAAACUCACAUGUAUGUAGUGUUUUAAAUUCUUCAAGCUCCAAUCUCACUAGUGGAAGUGGAAUUGAAGGCCAAAGCUCAAGAGGGAGCUGAAGCUCUCAUUUCAGAUCUGUAACCAAGUUUCAAGGCUAGGAUUAAGCUCCAUUUAUCAGAUAAGCAGAAAUCACAUGGUAAGCAGGCUAUGGAGUAGCUGCUGCAGCUGGAUGAAUUAUGUUUAUAUGCUUUUUUUUGUACUUCUAUCAUGUAUUUUGAUCAUGGCAUGUACUGUAUAAGACUUUGUUCUUAUGUCUGAACUUUUGUUUUAGCACCUGUGUGUGCCACCUUAAUUAUGUCAGGAAUUGUAAACUUAAUGUACCAAGUAUUAAUUAUGUACAAACCUGUUAUAUUCUAGAUAUUUAACUUGGGAUGUUA